GCCUGCACUUCUGCUGUAAGCAUGCAGCACGCCCGCGGCCGCGGUGAACGCUACAACCCCAAUUCCUCUUGCGGCCAGCUGAGCACCUGCGGAUCUUGCACCAACAUCAACUUCUGCCUGUGGCACAAGACCGAG
rnacentral:ribozyme from 1 species